CCAUAGCCCGAUCACUCGGUUCGAUCUGGUCGCUCCGUCUUGAAUCCGACGGUAGUCCGUGAGUGAGUUGGCAUUAGUCAACAAGUAUACCUCAGUUUCUCUCUCCGACUCUCCCUCCCUGCCGGGGCCCGACGCGCCACCUCGCCGCGGCGGGGAAACCAUCCCGGCGCCUUCCUCGCCGCCGGCAUGCUGUCCGAGGCGCUCGUCGUUCUCGCGCGCGUCCGCAGCGGCGGGAAAAUGCCCAGCCUCUCCCGGCUCGCGACGCUGCUGCGCCUGCUGUUCUGUGAGGGCAGCGUCCAGGCCGCGUGGAAGGUGUUCGUGGAAAUGACCGCGAUGGGGCCACGGUCGAGCCUUGCCAUUUUCAACGCCAUGAUCCUACGGUUAUGCCACAGGGGAUCUUCCCUGUAGCUGCGGGAUUGCUCGGUGUCAUGUGGAGAUUCCAUGGUAUCCCUGAUGCUAUACCAUCCUGAUCAAGGGUCACUGCGUGUUUGGGCGGGCAGGGGAUGCUUUCGAGCUGUUUGACAAAAUGCACAAGUCAGGGUGCGAGCCAACUGUUUUCACGUAUAAAUUUUUGGUGAAUGCACGGUGUCAUGAAUUCAUGAUGGAGGCAAGGAGCUCGUUAGAUGAGAUGGUGACGGUGGGGGUUGAAGCAAAUACAACCACCUUCAAUGUUUGAAUCGAUUGGUAUGCAAAGCUGGACGGAUGGACGAGUCUGAUGCUGCCUGCUGAGAGAUGAAGGCGAGGGGAUUGUUGCCAGAUUGCUGCACUUUCAACAUUCUUUCUGCUUGAGCAUACAAGUUAUAAAGGCUGUGCACUUAGCACAUGAGCAGGAGGAGCUGUAUGAAAUGUCUGGUUCACAGAUAUCAUCGGACAGUAUAGAUAUGGUGAUCUGUAGGCUUUUUGGGGAUGGACGAUUGGAUGAUGCCCGGCACCUUGUGUGUAGUGCAGUUGAGCAGGGUGUUCCAGUGAGCGCUGCAGGCUUUAAUGCUUUGAUUGCUGCAUAUAGCAAGGUGAGAUUUGAAGAAGAAGCUCUUGAGUUAUAUGGACUUAUGCAAUCAAGGAAGACUAGAUUAUGCACAAUUUCUGCUAGAACAUAUGAUUAGUAAGGGAUAUUCUGUUGGUACCUCAUUUACCGUUUACAUGGAUUCAUCCUUCAGGUCUGGUAAUGUAGAAGAUGCCUUGAAAUGCUGGGAUGAUAUGGUGAAAGUUAGUGUGCAACCUGAUUUUAUCGCCUUCUCUGCAUAUAUCAGUGGCCUUUGCAGAUUAGAUUAUGUAAAUGAGGCUUAUCCGGCAUUUGUGGAGAUGCUAAGAGGAGAUCUUGUUCUAAACAAUAUUACAUAAAACUCUCUCAUAUCUGCGUUUUGUAGGCUCGGCCAUGUGGCUGAAGCACUGAACCUAGAGCAGAAGAUGAGGCAGAGUGGUCUUGUUCCUGAUGUUUUCAGAAGCAACAUUCUGAUGAUGGUUUUUGCACAGAAGGAAGGUUGGAUAUGGUGAAUAAACGUUUCUUGGAAGUACACAGUAGUGGCUUAACUCCUGAUGUGGUGACGUACAAUACAAUUAUUAAUGCAUAUUGCCAGGUGAAAACUGCCAUGAUUUUCAUGAACAAGAUGCUUGCAGAUGGCUGUGAUCCAGAUAUUUUCACAUAUAGUACUUGAAUUCAUAGCCUCUGCAACAACCAGUCGAUGAAUUAAGCAGCAAGAGUGCUGGAUGAACUUGUUGUUGUUGGUUGCACACCUAAUUCAGUUACGGAGUGCAUGCAACACACUGAUGGACGGCAUUUGCAGUGAUGUCCUUGAUUGAGCUAUGAUUCACACUGGUAACCUGAUUAAGAUGGCUUUUUAACCGAACACCAUCACAGUUAAUGUUUUCUUUUCUCAUUUCUGCAAUCAAGGUUUUGGAAGGCGGGCCCUUGUGUGGGCUGAGAAGCUCAGAGAAAAUUCUUUUGCUUUUGAUGACGCUACAAUGAAUAUGCUUGACUGGGCUUUCAAGGAGAUGGAGGAUGGCCCCCAGGAUAGCAUUGCUGAUAUUGACAAGUGUAUGUUUCUCGAGUUCUUAAUGCUCAUAUCGUACACCACUAUGAGCACUACAAUCAAAGUUAUUGAUCCUGCUGGAAGUAACACAAUCAAAGUUUUGGAUACUGGAUAGCCAAAUUUCAUAGUCACAUGAGCUACUUGAAAACAUGAGCCACACAAUCAAAGUUUUUGGUGUUGAUAAGGGAUGCCAGUACAUCUCCAGCCUGGAGAAGUUGAGGAGAAGAAUCCUGCCAGUGCUUCCAUGCCAUCCCUCAACCCACUCUGCUUAGUGCUGGCCUCGCGAUCCGCAUUGAUGAGGGGGCUGCAGAUCAGGGAGCGCCUGAAGAUCGCCGCACUCGGGCUGCAGUUGGACCAACAAGGAUGAUCUUGUCCACGGCGAAGAUGAAGUUCAGAAGAGGACUUUAAAGUACAACCUGUGGCAUGGACAGAGUCAAGGAAGUGUUAACUUGCAUCAAGGCAUGAGAGAAUUUGCUCUUUCCUCCUUAUUUUUUUGAUUAUAUUUCUUUUUCCUAAUAUUUAUAUGUACUUGAUCGGCGCUAUGUACUUGGUCUGAAGGAAGCUUUUUCCUGUUUUUGCACUUUUGGAUCUUAUGUUGUUUCGGUCAUGAUGGCUCAGAUAUCAGAAUAAGGAGAUGAAGGUACAGGAAUAUGAGAGCUGCCAGAAAUCAAAAUUUGAAGCCAAGAUGAGCCAUGCAGAGGUGCAGGUUGACCAAUCGAAGGCGCAUGCAUAGAUUAGUCUCACAAAGAGGCCAUCUACCCUGAGCCACAAGUUGGAGGGCAAGGGCGAGGUGGAACCGGCAGGCAUGCCUGGUUGGCGCAGCAAGGAGAGCAGCUUGGAGACUGGAUGCGUGCUGUCCUGCUGUCCCGCUUCCAGUGCUGCAGCCGGUUUCUCUGAUGGAAAAAGAAAAAAAUUCAGACCGUCUAUGAGAUGUAUCCUGCCUGAAGAAUCCUGAAAAUCUCAGUGCCAACCUGGGACAAGAUGUUCAGAUAAUGCAACUAACUCUGAAGAAAUCGUUAUUUUUGAGGAAUCGGCAGGUGAGCUGCUCCUAAGAUUAAUGGAAGGGGUAACAUUAGAAAGCUAGCCAGACAAGCAAGGGCAAAGCAUGAACAAAUAGAAGAACUACUCUUGCGGCAUCAAGCUCUUGGCACCAGCCAGAGGGGAUCGUCUAGCACGGAAGACCAUCACAGGUUUAAUUGAACCAGUGUAGUCUGAGUAGCUGAAACUUUGGCUGCUUUCUACAGUCUGAAUAUGGCUGUGAAGUGAGCUACACGAAUACCAGGACUUCUCGUUAACCAUCAUUUUGUUUUUAGCAGACCGAUCUUCAAUUUUGGUAGCUAAUACGAGAGAGCUUCAUUGA